rnacentral:rRNA from 1 species
CCUACGGGUGGCAGCAGUGAGGAAUAUUGGUCAAUGGGCGCGAGCCUGAACCAGCCAAGUAGCGUGAAGGAUGACUGCCCUACGGGUUGUAAACUUCUUUUAUAAAGGAAUAAAGUGAUGCACGUGUGCCUCUUUGUAUGUACUUCAUGAAUAAGGAUCGGCUAACUCCGUGCCAGCAGCCGCGGUAAUACGGAGGAUCCGAGCGUUAUCCGGAUUUAUUGGGUUUAAAGGGAGCGUAGAUGGGUGUUUAAGUCAGUUGUGAAAGUUUGCGGCUCAACCGUAGAAUUGCAAUUGAAACUGGCGGUCUUGAGUACAGUUGAGGUAGGCGGAAUUCGUGGUGUAGCGGUGAAAUGCUUAGAUAUCACGAAGAACUCCGAUUGCGAAGGCAGCUUACUAAACUGCCACUGACAUUGAUGCUCGAAAGUGUGGGUAUCGAACAGGAUUAGAUACCCCUGUAGUC